GCCUGUAUAGCUCAGCGGUAGAGCGCAUCCUUGAUAAGGGUGGGGUCGGUAGUUCGAAUCUACCUAUAGGCACCA
rnacentral:tRNA from 1 species